rnacentral:lncRNA from 1 species
UUUUGUACAUAAAACACUUUUUUGGUAUCUGCUGCUAUCUAACACAUACAGAUUUGGUUCAUUCAACUGCACACCCCAUUUGACAUAGUUAUUAUAAAGGAGUUUAUUAAAUUUCAAUAUCCAUGGAAUUGACAAAUCUGCAAAUAAAUCAGUUUAUUUUAUUUAAUACUCAAGCUAGGAACUAAUUAGAAAAAUAAGAUUUCCAUUUUUCCUAUCAAAACAGUAACCUGGUGUACUCAGUUGAUGGAAAAGUAUUUGAAAGCCAAUUAGUUUCUCAAGAUUGUACUGAUGACACUAGAAAAGUUGGAAUGUUUUAUUUUCAAAUGGUCCAAGCACUCUGAAAAAAGUCAACUAAUUUCUGAGAAAAAAUUAGUGUCAUCAUUUAAGUGAGUGAAGUGAGUGGUCAGAACUGUUACAUUCUUAUCUCCAUGCUCAAAAUGUGACACACUCUUUUAUUAUAGUAAGCACAGGCUGUUUGGUUCAGAUAAUACUGUAUGUUUCCUCAAGAAUAUGCUAUACAUCAGUUAGUGCUAAAGAUGGAAUACAGUAGACAAAAGCAUUUUGUGUAAACUUUAAUCUGUCCUGAGGACACGGGAUUUAGUGUUCUUCUGAAUCUCAUGCCACAUCAUGACAGUCUAAUCUUGCAUCCAUGGGCAUGAUAUUUUUUAAAAAGAGGUUAGAUGCCUACCUGUCAGUGAAUGUUUUAGCUAUGGAUUGCUUGCUUUGGCAGGUUUGACUCAAUUAUCCUUGGGGUCCCUCCCAGCUCUACUAUUCUAUGCCUCUAUGAUGUCCCAAUACAAUUAGCAUUAAAUUCUCAAAUGCAAAGUACUUGGGGGGGACCCCCAAUGUUGCAAGCCUUUCACAAAAUCUGAUGAGAAGCUCAGGUUGUAUCAGCUGCAACAUUUUUCCAAUUAUCAUACAAAAACUAUGGUGUUUAUACACCCUCUUUUCACAUGCAGAGCUGGUGAUAAAGCUGUUGAGACUGAGGUAGAAUAUUUACAUUUUUCACUGACAACUAUAAGUGGUACAUUUACCAAAAGAAAUACAGUGUAUUGCCCAAGUAAGGGGACCAAAGCAAGUUCUUGAUCUACCUUUA